CUAUACAUGACUCUGCGCAUAUCAAUAAGCGGAGGAAAAGAAACUAACAAGGAUUCCCUUAGUAACGGCGAGUGAAGCGGGAAGAGCUCAAAUUUGAAGUCUUCAAGGUUUUACCAUGACGUAUUGUAGUUUAAAGAAGUGUUUUCUGUUGGAGUUUUGGUAAAAGUUCUUUGGAAUAGGACAUCAUAGAGGGUGAGAAUCCCGUAUUUGACCAUUACUUUCCAGCUGUGUGAUACACUUUCAAGGAGUCGGAUUGUUUGGGAAUGCAGUCCAAUAUGGGUGGUAAAUUUCAUCUAAAGCUAAAUAUUGGCUAGAGACCGAUAGCGAACAAGUACCGUGAGGGAAAGAUGAAAAGAACUUUGAAAAGAGAGUUAAACAGUACGUGAAAUUGUCAAAAGGGAAGCGUUUGACACCAGUGUUGUUUUCUCGAAAAUCAAUUAAAAAUGGCUGGAUUUUGUGUUGUAUUGACUUUAUCGGCUUUCUGCACUUUUUUCAUGUCUUUUUUAAUGCACUUUUCGUUUAACAAGUCAACAUCAGUUUCUUUUGUUGUAAAAAGGUCAUUGGAAGGUGGCUUUCUUUUCGGAGAAAGUGUUUAUAGCCUUUGACUCCUGCAAUCGGAGAGACUGAGGUCUGCAGCGUAGAUCCUUUUUUGGAUUAGAUUCAUUUGUGCUAAGUUAUAGCUUUUUAUAGACAACAUGUUGACUAUAUUUAGUUUUGUAACUUACUCGCUUAUGUAAUUUUACCUACGCUUAGGAUGUUGAAGAUAUGCGCGACACG
rnacentral:rRNA from 1 species